CUGAUCANCCUCCUUUCUAGAGACAANAAAAAAGGAUGUGAUUUAAAAUUAAAUUUAAAUUAAAAUCUUACUCUCGCUGUUNAUUCAAAAAAAAGAAAAGGCUUAAAAUACAGAGUCUCGUAGCUCAGCUGGUUAGAGUACUACACUGAUAAUGUAGGGGUCGGCAGUUCGAGUCUGCCCGGGACUACUAUUUAAAGUUAUAAAAAAGGAAAUUCUAGAAGCGAAUUUUGAAUUAUAAAUUUUAAAUGAUGAAUUUGAAAAAUAAUUCAAAAAAAUAAUUCAACAUUCAAAAUAGACAAUGGGGGAUUAGCUCAGCUGGCUAGASCSCCUGCCYUGGCACSCAGGAGGUCAUCGGUYCGACUCCGAUAUUCUCCACAACRGCCCCUCCUAACCUYCCCAAAGGGGAGGAACACAGAGCAAUCGGCUCUCCCCCUUCGGGGGAGCUGGAGGGGGGCUCAAAGUUCAUUGCACCAUAUUGAGCAUAACACAUCACAACACAAGUAGAAAGACACAGUCUUUAGUGCAUUAGUAAAAAAGCACAUAGGCACUAGUGGCUUCAUGGCUAUUGACUAAUGGCUAAAAGAAUAAAGAAAACAAUAAGCAAAAUAAGGGCGUAUGGGGGAUGCCUAGAA
rnacentral:misc_RNA from 1 species